GGGCUUUUAAGUCACUAGUGGUUCCGUUUAGUAGAUAAAUGUACACUAUUUCAAAUGGUGCCCUAGUGACUGCAAAGCC
rnacentral:pre_miRNA from 1 species